UGUUCUUUUUAAAUAUUUUUUUUUAAUAGGGUUGCAGAGAAGAUGAAACCCAAGGUUGGAAUCUCAGGUCCCUGAGAAAGAUGUUUCCAAAGACAAGCAUUGAAUUAUCUUAGGCAGGAAUUAGGAAACUGCUUAUGUAAACUAGUCUAAACCUGCUCUAUGCUGUUACCUUUUUUGAAGAUCUUGAAUAAAACUAAUGUUGUUGAGAGGUUCCCAAUAUAUGACUGUUGUAGAAUAUGCACCAUCUCAACGUGUUCCAAAACUGUGGGCUAAAAAAGAUGGCCAUGAAGGGACCAUAUUCAAAGGUGAUAAUAUUUUAUUAAGAAAAGAAGAAUAUAAAAUAAAGAAUGAA